GAUGAACGCUGGCGGCGUGCUUAACACAUGCAAGUCGAACGAAUAAACCGUUUUCGGACGGAUAUAGAGUGGCGAACGGGUGAGUAACACGUGACCAACCUGCCCCCCGCUUCGGGACAACCUUGGGAAACCGAGGCUAAUACCGGAUACUCCCUCCCCUGCGCCUGCAGGGGUCGGGAAAGCUCAAGCGGCGGGGGAUGGGGUCGCGGCCCAUUAGGUAGUAGGCGGGGUAGAGGCCCACCUAGCCUGCGAUGGGUAGCCGGGUUGAGAGACCGACCGGCCACAUUGGGACUGAGAUACGGCCCAGACUCCUACGGGAGGCAGCAGUGGGGAAUUUUGCGCAAUGGGGGAAACCCUGACGCAGCAACGCCGCGUGCGGGAUGACGGCCUUCGGGUUGUAAACCGCUUUCAGCAGGGAAGAACAACGACGGUACCUGCAGAAGAAGCUCCGGCUAACUACGUGCCAGCAGCCGCGGUAAUACGUAGGGAGCGAGCGUUAUCCGGAUUCAUUGGGCGUAAAGAGCGCGUAGGCGGCCUCUCAAGCGGGAUCUCUAAUCCGAGGGCUCAACCCCCGGCCGGAUCCCGAACUGGGAGGCUCGAG
rnacentral:rRNA from 1 species